CUGCAUGGAGCCGGCCUUGAAAUACCACCCUUUAAUGUUUGAUGUUCUAACGUGGACCCGUAAUCCGGGUUGCGGACAGUGUCUGGUGGGUAGUUUGACUGGGGCGGUCUCCUCCUAAAGAGUAACGGAGGAGCACGAAGGUUGGCUAAUCCUGGUCGGACAUCAGGAGGUUAGUGCAAUGGCAUAAGCCAGCUUGACUGCGAGCGUGACGGCGCGAGCAGGUGCGAAAGCAGGUCAUAGUGAUCCGGUGGUUCUGAAUGGAAGGGCCAUCGCUCAACGGAUAAAAGGUACUCCGGGGAUAACAGGCUGAUACCGCCCAAGAGUUCAUAUCGACGGCGGUGUUUGGCACCUCGAUGUCGGCUCAUCACAUCCUGGGGCUGAAGUAGGUCCCAAGGGUAUGGCUGUUCGCCAUUUAAAGUGGUACGCGAGCUGGGUUUAGAACGUCGUGAGACAGUUCGGUCCCUAUCUGCCGUGGGCGCUGGAGAACUGAGGGGGGCUGCUCCUAGUACGAGAGGACCGGAGUGGACGCAUCACUGGUGUUCGGGUUGUCAUGCCAAUGGCACUGCCCGGUAGCUAAAUGCGGAAGAGAUAAGUGCUGAAAGCAUCUAAGCACGAAACUUGCCCCGAGAUGAGUUCUCCCUGAGACUUUAGGUCUCCUGAA
rnacentral:rRNA from 1 species